rnacentral:tRNA from 3 species
CGGAAAGUAGCGCAGAUGGUAGCGCACCUGGUUCGGGACCAGGGGGUCAGGAGUUCAAAUCUCCUCUUUCCGA